GUCCCCGCCCGGUUGUCAGGAGUGAGCAGGACGCUGCACGCGAGAAUUCAAAGCUUUAUUUACCGCCCCCCCCACCCCCAACUCCCCAAAAAAUAUUCAGUUUACAGAUAGGCGUGCGCUCCCGGCCACAUGCAGGCAGUGCGAACGAGCACAGCUAAGGCGUGGAGUUUGGGAUUUUGAGGAGGAGGGGGCGAACGGAAAGAGAGGAACGGGAAAGGAAAGGGUCGCGCAUAUACACGUCACAGCUAAGGGGAAACAGUAAAGAAACGACAUUGGGCGAUGUUGAGUUUCCACCGUAAUUUAGUUAGUCUUGUUCCCGCGUGUGUCUCUGAGCGCCAAGCAGUCCACGGUGCCACUUCCUCUCCGGAGCCGUCGGCGAGCGGUCUCCGCCAGGCGCCAGCCUCGCUUGCACGGGGCUGUUACCCAAACGCCCCAUUUCACCUUUGAGCCGCACUUAAAGGGCAUCAACUGGCGCUGACAACACAGAACUGAGAGCUCAUCAGGAGAGAGGACACGCUUUUAAUCGAAUAGAACCGGAGAAGUGGUGUCAUUGUCCAACGAGCCCGCUGUGCUGCGCCUGUGCCCGCACUCGAAGGCAAGGAGCACCGCCGCUUGCCGUAGCAUAGCACGCCUGACGCUCGCCGUUGGGGGUGGGAGGUUGUGUUAGCCUCAAAUUGUCUUUUAUUCCACAAACUGCUCGGUUUACUGAUGGAAGCCUUUACUCGAUAGUCCGUCUCCCUUCCUCUAACCUUGGGUUAGAGGAAAUCUCCGGAUUUGACACUCGGGCUCUGUCCUCGCCAAGUGGGGUGCUGGCUGGAUCACCACCUCUCUCCCUCCCCGACGCUUGCCGCGCCUCACCUGUCUGCGGCUCUGGCAACGAGACCCCCCGCCCCCAGCCGCCACCGAGCCCCAACAUGGCAGGCAACCUAAAGAAAGGCGGGGGGCUCAUCGGAAUGAUGAAGGAUGCUUUCCAGCCACACCACCACCACCACCUUCAUUCGCACCACCAGCCCGGGGCCGUGGACAAAAAGACAGUGGAAAAGUGCUGGAAACUGAUGGAUAAGGUGGUGCGCUUGUGCCAAAACCCCAAAUUGGCCCUGAAGAACAGCCCCCCUUACAUCCUGGACCUGUUACCAGAUACAUACCAGCACCUGCGCACGGUUUUGUCACGCUACGAGGGCAAAAUGGAAACCCUGGGGGAAAAUGAGUAUUUUCGAGUCUUCAUGGAGAACUUGACCAAGAAGACCAAGCAAACCAUCAGUUUGUUCAAGGAGGGCAAGGAGCGCAUGUACGAGGAGAACUCGCAACCCAGGAGGAACCUCACCAAGCUGUCUUUGAUCUUCAGCCACAUGCUGGCCGAGCUGAAGGCCAUUUUUCCAAACGGCUUGUUUCAGGGUGACAAUUUUCGCAUCACCAAGGCUGAUGCUGCAGAGUUCUGGAGGCGUGCCUUCGGGGACAAGACCAUCGUGCCUUGGAAGGUGUUCCGUCAGUCUCUUCAUGAAUUCCAUCCAAUCAGUUCUGGCCUGGAGGCCAUGGCCCUCAAGUCCACCAUCGACCUCACAUGCAAUGACUACAUCUCCGUUUUUGAAUUCGACAUUUUCACCAGGCUUUUCCAGCCUUGGUCAUCCCUUUUACGGAACUGGAACAGCUUGGCAGUCACACACCCAGGUUACAUGGCCUUCCUAACUUACGACGAGGUCAAAGCACGAUUGCAGAAGUUCAUUCACAAACCUGGCAGUUACAUCUUCCGACUGAGCUGCACCCGGCUGGGCCAGUGGGCCAUCGGCUACGUGACGGCGGAUGGAAACAUUCUCCAGACCAUUCCUCAUAAUAAACCUCUCUUCCAGGCCCUCAUAGAUGGCUUCAGGGAAGGAUUCUAUUUAUUCCCCGAUGGCCGGCCCCAAAAUCCAGACUUGACAGGACUUUGUGAGCCUUCGCCUCAAGACCACAUUAAAGUUACGCAGGAGCAAUAUGAACUCUACUGUGAGAUGGGCUCCACCUUCCAGCUGUGCAAAAUCUGUGCUGAGAACGACAAGGACGUGAAGAUUGAGCCCUGUGGUCAUCUAAUGUGCACCUCCUGUCUCACUGCGUGGCAGGAAUCCGAGGGUCAAGGCACAGGCUGUCCAUUCUGUCGCUGCGAGAUUAAAGGUACCGAGCAUAUUGUUGUGGAUCCAUUUGACCCCAAGGACAACAGCGGGAGCUCCUGCAGGGGCCUAUUUGGGGCAGAGGGCGCUCCGUCGCCUUGCUAUGAUGACGAUGAUGAUGACAGACUUGAAGACCCCCACCUAAUGAUGAGCAAACUUGCUUGUACAAAGGUGGAGCGUCCCCCGUCCCCCAUGUCCGUGACUCCUCAGUCAUCCCUUCCACCCGUGCCACCCAGACUAGACUUGCUUCCACACAGACCCCCUAACCCACCUGGUGCCUCCAGUCCAGGAGUCACUGCAAAGGCAGCGUCUCAUCACAAAGACAAGCCCCUUCCUCUCCCCCCAGCGCUGAGGGAUCUCCCACCUCCACCGCCUCCAGACCGCCCCCACGCAUCCGCCUCGUCCUCGGAGGGGCGCUUGCCGAGACGGCCCCUACCCUGCACGCCCGGCGAGGCUCCCAGAGAUAAACUGCCUCCAGCACCCCCAUUCCGACCGCCCACUGACUGGAACUCCCGGCCUGUUCCCAAAGCCCCGACAUCCUCGUCUUCAUCCUCAACCAGUCAAGUCUCCGUUCUGGGUGUGGACAUGCGUGCGGGUGUCAGGGAGCUCUCCAACCGACACUCCCUCCCUUUGGCGUUGCCCUCUGCUCUAGACACACGCACAGACCCGCAGAAGAACAAUAACUCUCUCAGUUUGGACCAACAGCUGAACUUUGUCUCAGUGGUUGGACACGAUUAUAACAACCCCAAAGUCAAACCAUCAUCUUCUGCCAAUGCCAUCUACGCACUGGCAAGCAGACCCUCUUCAGCUGUGAGGUCAGCGACAGGCGAGGAGUCCCGUGACAGUGAGGAGGAGUCAGAGUACAUGAUCCCCUCCUCUCGGCCCAUCCUGCCCGCCGUCGCAUCGCCACCUAUGGGAGAGAGCCCCCCGGUGUCGAGGUCCUCGCAACCUCACUGUGUCCUUGCUAUUCAGGCGCAGGCUCAAACCAUUGCUUUCAACCCACGGCCGACACUAACGGAACUGGAGGACGGCCUUCCAAUGUAUGAGGCCAUGUACAACAUCCAGGCUCGAUCGCAGGAAGCCAGUGAUUCAGAUUAUUCAGAACUCCCCCCUCUGCCCAUGACCAACGGCCCCAGGGAGCACACAGCAGAGGAUAGGGAGGAUGAGGAUAACGGAUAUGAUUUCCCUCACCCACGAUUGCCGAUGCCCCCGAUCCGACGGACCUUUUCGGAACUGGGAGGGUCCUCCUCAUCAACUUCAUCCUCCUCGUCGAGCUCAUCCUCAGCAGUAGCUUGCAUGUCAGAGUCCGCGGAAGCCCCAGAGAGACCUCCCAAGCCUCUCCCAAGACGCAUCAAUUCAGAGCGUCGACCCAGCCCCGUCCCGCCAGUCCCUGGCCCUCCCAGUUGCGGGGCAUCUGGAGGAGACGUCAACCCUCAGAUUAGCAGCGAAAUCGAGCAUCUCAUGAGUCAGGGAUAUUCGUACCAGGACAUCCAGAAAGCACUGCUGAUUGCACAGAACAAUAUCGAGAUGGCCAAGAACAUUCUGAGAGAGUUCGUCUCUAUUCCCUCCACGGCGCACAUUUUCACAUAGCGCACUUGGCCAUCUCGCCCUGGCUCUGCUUGAUCUUUUUUUUUUUUUUAAGGUCGGCACGGCUCGUUGCCUGCAGCGUGACCCUCUCUGGUGCUGUAGACACCCCCGCCCUAUUUCGGCCCGUUGUGGAAUUUUGAAUUUGGCUGGCGCUCGCAGCAUCUCUUUCAGCAGCCUUCUCAAACUGCGACAAGAGCAUCUUGCCAGGCCCGAGUCGCGAAGUCCAAAACAGGACGCCUUUCGGAAGCCUCGCCAAAAAUGUAACCAAGACCUCACGAAGAAAAUGUAUGUCUAUAUCAAAGUUUAAUAUAUGGUUAAAUGUAUAUUAAAUGUAUGUAAUAUAUACAAGUCAGUAUGUGAAACGAUGUCCCCUUUGAGGGUCGCUCUUGGUUUAAGCGCCAAGUGUGCCUCUUGUCAAAACAGCGAUUCGAGCGUUGACUUGAAGAUGACUCAGAAUGGCACCACUGCGUUUGUGCGAGUGUGUCUGUGUGCGUGCGUAUGUGCUUAGUAUGCAUGUUUGAGUGUGAAUAGUUUCUCCAAAUCUUUUCCAUACCAUGACCAAAUUUAAUUUGUGAUUGUUUUUUUCGAAUGAAAAUGACAGAAGGAAGUUGGAAAUUACGCAACAAGUGUUUGAAAACAAACAGUUGUCCAAAAUGAAAUGCAGGAAUAUUGAACUUUAGUUAAAUACAGUCAUACUUAGUGUUUUACUUGCGUACCUCUAAGGGAGCCCAAGAUCCCGGUAAUUGCAAUGAUCUUGACAACGGGUGUCAAACUCAUGGCCCGACGCCCAGAUCUGGCCGGCCACAUCAUUUCAUGUGACCUUCAAAAUCAAAUCAAGUACGUCAGUUUCCAUGAUGCUUGCUCAAAUCUGGACCGUAAUUUGAAAUCGUCUUUUGUAAUAAAUAGCGGUGAGGUAUUACAAGCAUUUUCUUGUCACCAAACCUGUUACCACAGUAACUUGAACAACAAUGUCAUAUCUAUUAUUCUUGUCGACUGAUUUCAAUCCUAGUUAUCCAGUAAUUUGUUGGUCGUGUACUAUUAUGUAAUAGUAUGAGGAGGUGAUAAAACAUUUACUGCUUUAAGGUUUCACAGUCCGAAUGGCCCUCUAUGGGAAUCUGUAACUACAAUGUGAACCGUGACAAAAAAAAAGAGUUGGACACCCCUGAUCUAGAAUUAGCUCAUUGCGGUUACCAGGAUCUUUUUGAAUGGUGCAAAUUAGUUUCUUUCAAACGUUCACAGGUAUGACUCAAUUCAAAAUGUAAAAUGAAAAUUAAGUUCUCUGUGUGUCUUAACUCCGAAGUCUUUGGCCACUUUCUUCUGCCAUUUCAACCUUAAACAUACACAUUAACGAAAUAUUCUAUAAAUAUGCAUCAACGUGGAAUUCCGGCUGUCUAGACAAAUGCCACAGAGCUCUUAUUUUUUUGAACAACAUGGCUUUGGUACUAAAAUUUAUCAUGUUGUUGAUUCCAGCUAAUGUUGCGGAGGACGUGACGCAAGGGAUGGCGCUACACCGGGGCUAGAACGGCCUUUUGCCCCGUCAGAAAUCUGUGUAGCCCCCAGUUAAGACCCGCCAAGAAUUUUAUUUGGUGUUCUAAAAUAGAUAUUUAUAAAUUCUAAAUCAGCUGUCUAUUUAUCGGUCUAGCCGCCCUUGAGCCCAGAGAGAGAAAAACUCCUGGCGCUGUUCCUGACUUGCGUGUGCGCGCCUGAAAUGAAUGUGGAUGUUUUAAAGUUGACCACCGCGCAGUACCAGACGAGCUCUUGUUCUGCGAUCCGAGGCGGCUGACUUUUUUUGUUUUUUACAUCAUCGUCUGGCUGGUUCAGGUUCCGGUCUCCAGCUCAGUGCGGUGUUAUGAUUACAAAGAAAAAUAUUGUCAUUGGUUUCUUUUUGGUAAUAUAUUAUUGUAAUGUGAUCUUAAAUAUUGUUGUAAUUAAUUCAGAAGUGCUUCACUGCUGCUAAUAUUACAAUAGUGUUCAACAAAUUAAGCCUUAAAUGUAGAUUUUUAAUAUUCUUUCAUCUGUAAUCGUCCUUUAAAGUGACAGUAUCGCCAUUUUUCUGCAGUUGCUAAUGUAGCAAACUUGAACGUACAAGCAGCUUGAGAGCUGUCCACUCUGCAGUGUUCAAACUCUCUCUUUCUCUCUCUCUCUCUCUCUCUCUUUCUCUCUCUCUCUUUCUCUUUUGGGGGGGGUCGUUUCCAUCAGGUCAUUAUCGCAACAGUUAGCAAAAUGCAACACGGAAUUGGGCUUUAAGCUCCAGGGUUACACCCCAUAGCAAGGGAAGAGCUGAGGAUGUAACAGGUAGUAGGCUUGCGACUUUGUUGAACGUCAGCAGCAGUAGGGCCUAUUCACAAAACUAACUCAGGAAAAACGUUUUUAGACUCGGCUGAGUCGGAAUCAAUGAAGUUUCGUUGCCUUUUUUGGGGGGGAGGGGGGGGGAGUUCCUUUCCGUUAUUCUGACUGGCACAGUAUUUUUCAAGGUCACCAGACCUCUGUAGACAGCAGCUUCCAGGUACUCUGAAUGAACACCCACAUCGAGCUUUGAGUUACAUUGAUGCAACACUCAAAGUUCUAUAUAUAUAUGAAGAAUGUGUCUCUGAUGCUGGUACAAUUCUGAAUAAGCUUGUUCUGCUUUAAGCUGUCCAGUCGAUCCUCAUUUCUGAUUUUGUGUUCCUAGUUGCCUUGACCAACUUCUCGAAUGCGUGUGAGUAAUGACUUAAUGGGGUCUUCAUUAGUGUGUCAUUGUGAAAUAAUUUACUCACACGGUAACAGCCAAAUUGUGCUUUGAUACUGUCACUCUAAAGGCGCUUGCAGUCAUACAAAAGACAAGAAUGCUGUUUGCUGUCAUUUUUACAUUCCUGUAUUAAGUUGCUGCCCCCGCCCUACAGACAUUGUUUUGUGUAUUGCUCUGAAUAAUUCUCAAAAGCAGUGCCAUUUGUGUUGAGAUCAAGAUUAACUGAGACCUUUUGUUGUGGGGGGGGGAAGGGGGGGUCUUUGUGCACGCCGGCCUCUCUGCAUGUCGGAGUGAAUGUCGGCGCGUGUGUGUGUGUGUGUGUGUGUGUGUGUGUGUGUGUGUGUGUGUGUGUGUGUGUGUGUGUGCGCGUGUGUGUGAGAGAAAAAAGAGAAGAAGUCAGGCAGGCCUGUUUGUAGCCUGGGGUGGGUGAGUGCAGGUGUCUAUGCAAUGUGCAUGCAGGUGUGUGUGUGCGCGUGCGUGCGCGCGCCCAGCUUUGUUUUGUGUCGACAUCUGUACGGACGUAGCUACAGUAUGUAGGGCGCGAAGGGUAUUGUGUGUAGGUGUUUGCGUGUAGUGUGUGUGUGUGUGUGAGAGUGAGACUUCAUCCAAGAGCACCUGCUGUUUACCUUUCUUCUUAGCCCUCCAAAAAAGAAGGAAAGCACACCCCGGAUGGCUGUUUUCUCUGCGCAUGUAAGAGCAAUGUCGUGAGUGCUUUAUUGGGGAUGGGGCCACAAGAGGGAGCUGUGGUUCCACAUAUUCUCCUCAACAGUCAUUAAAAAAAAAAACUGCAUUAAGUUUACCCUUGUUUUUACCUCCGAUCAAUUUGGAAGAUUGCACAGUGCUGUCAAUAAAAUUGAACGCAGGAGACAUUUUCU